UGACUCCUGGGGCCCAAAUCGGGGUUCGGCAUGUUGUGGCGGGCUGCUGGCACGUCACGUGGGUGUCUUGGGAGGUCCUCCUCCCGUGGCACGUCUGCGUAGUGCAGCCUGCGUCUUUCAACUGGGGCUUCUGCGUAAUACACUCUGUCCGGGUACGGACUGGCAUAUGAUGCUUUGUCCUGUAGCUGGUUAUCGGCAUGCCGAAUACCGGAGUAGCUAGGAUGGGUGGAUGGUUGAGGUGCAGGUUGGGGUGCAUAACCCCAAUCGGCACCUUGCACCCUUCGUGGACUGGGGGAGCGGUCUAAAUAGAGGUGCCGCUCAGCUGGUCGACUUCUCACUGAUUGAGAAGGCCGUGAAGAUGAGGGUGGUGGUCCAACCUGGGGUUCGAGGGCGAACUGCCCUCGGCCCCUAGGUGGUCCUGAAUGCCCUAGAGUGUGUGUAGGGAACGGGCCAGAAGGUUGGGACAGAUAAGCUUCAUCUCUCCCCUGUGGCGUGCGUCCGUCCAGAGAGUCCCACACUACAUACUGUUGAUUAUCGUAUGGAGAUGUAUCAGGAGGUGGCCUACCUUUACGGCGGGACGACUGUCCCUCGCUUCCUCGGGUGGAGGAAACCAAUUGCGGUUUGCCGGUCGUCCUGGGCGGACCCUGGUUGGCUUUGCCGGCUUGCUUUCGUACCGGUGUGGGAGAGGACUCUGGCUCAGCCUCAGCGUCGUGGUGUUUCCCCCCUUCCCACUGUCUGUUCUCAUCAGCAGAGGGGGGCGGGGUCUCCUCCCCAUCUUCCCCAGAAUCGGUGCGGGUGUCGUCUUCCUCGAUCAGCCUUCCAUUUCGCUGUUUUUCAGCUAGCAUACUCUGGAGGUUCAUGAUCUCUCUAUCAUGUUGGAGUCCUCUCUGAUAGAGGAUCAGGGCUAACUUAGCUAAGUGAACCUGGAUUGGUUUUGUACCAUCCGGGUUUUCUAUUUGAUCAAUUACAGCGUCCAGCUGUUCUUCAGUGAAAUCCCUAGAAGGGUAGUCAGGUUCUCGAGCAACAGCGACCAGUUUGGACAAUAUUUGUCCAGAAAGUAGGCCAGGUUCAUAGUCGUGGGCCGCAGCGCCACCUGGUUGCUGGGAGUUGGUCAGUUCACUACUCUGUCCCUCCAUUUUUAACAACCGAACCAAAAUAGCCUAGUAGAGCUUCUGCAGAUAGCUCAAAACUGCACCUUUUGGGCAGCAACUGCUAGCUUUGUAGCAGAAAACACUAAAUUAACCUUUGUGCGCACAGGUUUUAGCGUUUUUUUUAAAUUGCACGGAAUGCCGUGACUGACGCUUAAAAUACUAUUCCUUUCAGUAUUUUAGCAAAAGCUGGUGCGUUGCCGUAGCAACGUCUUACAACACUUGCAGUGUUAAAUGUGCUAGUUUUUCCUUCAGAAUAUUAGCAAACAGGGUGUUAUCAGUCUUUGAGUGAAGGUUUCAGUUAGUUAUAAUAGCCACUGUGAGUUAAAGUCGCUAAAUUAGCAGUUAAUUUUAGCCUAAAAGGGUUAGACAGAAUCACUUACAUACUGCACCUUUAAUAAGGAACUGAAUUUUAACCUAAAAGGUUAGCCAGAAAUUAUUACACGUUGCACCUUUAAAGAAGCACUGAGUUACUGGUGAGAGUUCGAUGCAGCUUCCUGCUCAGCGAAAUCAGCACCACUCUGUUGCUGGUUCAAGGCUGAACAACUGAUUAUUUUUAAUCCAAGCUAAAGAUUUAUUUGUUUGUUUGUGCCGUAUAGAAAAUCUCUGUGUAUCCGCCUCACACGGGCUGCACCAAUUAUGUUGGGGUUAUUAGGAGCGAACAAUUAGUAAGCGUUAACUUACUUUUGGAUUCUUCAAUAAAUUCUGUAAAUAUGGGAAUAUUUACUGAUUUAUUAAUUAAUUAAGAUAUUCUUAGAUAUCUCCGGGGCACCACCCUUUAAUUAGAAAGGGAAAUGAACCCAAAACCUUAUCAGUCUUUCUUGAAGUUCGUAGAAUCCCUGGAGCAGAGACUUCUCUUCGACACAACAAAGCUACUGGAGACGAAAAUCUGAAUUUUAUAACAUUUAAUUGAACAAUUUGUCAAAUGAAUAAACAGUGGCAUAAAUGAAUAAUAACCAUGUGAUAUAAUAAAAGGAUGUAUAUUCAAAAUAAUGUUCAAGGUGUUUUAUGUGUAUGUAUGUGUGUGUGUGUUUCUAAAAUGGAGUCUGUAUACAAGAUGGCUGACCCCUUUGUCUGGCUAAAGUGGGGGUGGCAACUUGCACUUUAACUUCCAAAGCACUUAGAAUCAGUAGUAACUUAAUUAACCUUAAAGAGCAAGUAACGUCUAAAUUAACUUUUUUUUGCUGAUGAACUGCAUAAAUGAGUGUCUAAUAGUGUUUUAAAUGUGUGCAUUCUUUAUUUUAGCAUUUUGGUGUAUUUUCUUUAAACAUUAAAAAUUCUGUCUAAAAAUCACAGUAAUGCGCCACCUUCAGCUGAAAACAUAGAAUUUGAGUCAUUUUGAAUAAAUUUUAGCCAAUGGCUAAAGAGUAAAGUACUACGUAAACCAGUAGAGUACUACGUAGCAGCUCCGUGCCAAAGUUAUAAAAGCAACGAGCGUCUCGGCCACGCCCUGUGGCGAGUGGGAGUUGGAUUUGCAAGCGAGCGUAGGAGGUCAGCGGUAGUUCAGCAUUAGCAUAUAGCAUUAGCAUAUCCUAGUCUUUAGCAUAUCUUUUAGUGUUAUAAAUACUUAUUUAGUGUUAGAUUAGGCUGUUGGAUAUUGUAGUUUAGUUAGUGUUUGGCUGUUAGUGUAAUUGGGAAAGUAGUUCGGGUUUAGUGCUCCAUAUCGUGUUAGUAUUGGUGAGUAGGUGUAGUGUAGUAUGGUUGCGGUGACUCUGUGGGCAUUUUACCCGCGAUUCUGCACGUCUCCGUUUGAAGAGGGAGGCUGUGCCCACCGUGGCUCUUCCGCGAUUUAGAUGCAGCCCACCGACUCUGCUCCCCCACCACGGUGGGCUCCAGUCUGAGGUGAGUAAGCUAAAUAAACGUUUUAACAUCUUCUAAAGACAAUUCCCUACCUAAAUGCAAAGUCUGAGAGACGUGGUUCACUUCCUUUAGCUAGUCAGUCGGCGAUUCUGCAACAGUGGCUCUAACUAACAGCACUAGUUGACAGACAGCAUUACAGCGUGAAAUCCAGCACAGCGUGACCCGGUUCUGUAAGGAAUUCUGUUCAGGAGGUCACAUUUCAGGCUCUCCACAUCAUGUGUGACUGACUUUUACGUUAUAACAACGAUCACACACUAGGAAUGUUAUAAAGCGCCUAUAUAGGAGAUUCUUUUGUAUAUUAUCUGACUUUAUAAACUCCCAACAACAGUGUGCUUUUUUUUUCAGGCUAAAUCUACCCAAGACACUGGCUGUCAGACUGAUUUAGCUGCAAGAAUGCACUUGUCCAGGCAGACGUGAAGCCUUACCUGUAGCAAAGCCAGCCAGAGUGGAGUUCACAGCCGCAGUGUGUCUGGUGACCCACGGGGACCAUGAUGAAAAUUCAUCUUCCAGAAGGUCCCAGAGCAGCGGCCGCACCCCCUGAAAAGACCAAGGUGUAAGGUGUCUGCUGUUGAUUCCAGCUUCCACCUCAGUGACAGUGCAAGCUCAGUGAACUGUUCAAGGACACUCAGCAAAAUAUGGACUCUACACCAUGAGGCAGGCACACGUUAAUAUUCUAUAAAAGCACAUAAGGUGAGCAACACCACAUAUUAUUGUACACUGUCCUGAAUUUGUUUUCUUUCUGCAUCUCAUUAGCCUGGCUGAUCACCUGAUAACUCCUGUCAUCUGGUUAUGACAGCAUGAGGAUGUCCUCACACACCUUUAACCUAUCAGCUCAUCUGGCAGAAUAGAGAGAGAAGAGACAACACCACAUCUCCUGUUCCUGAAAGCCUUCAGCCAUCCUUCGAUGACUGAGAACCUCCAUCAGCUCUGUCUCCUGUCUGCCUACAAUUAUUAUAAUAAAUAUUGUGUUUGACAAGUUUUUUUGUGCUGCCAAAUAUCUCAUAUAGAUUCCAGUUUUGAUAUUUUAAUGGAUAUUUAUAAAUUACAUUAAUUGAAUUAUCACAUUGCAUGUUUAACUAGCUCUAUUGUGAUGAAUUAAACUAGCACCUCACUGUUAAAAGCUCGUUUUAAUUUCAAGCAUGUUUAAGUAUUUAUGGACAUGAAAAAAAACAGGAAAUAUGUAAAUUGAGAUUUAUUUAAUUAAUAUAACAAAUAAGGGGGAAAGAGUCAUUGAAAGGCACAUUCUUCUGGAAGCUCCUGAUCCUGACCACACCAGCAGAGGAGACCAGCUGCAGACACCAGAGACCAGCUGCAGACACCAGACGACCUAGAACCAAGAGAGCAGCUGUUAUUAGUAAAUAAAUAAAUCAGGGCAGUUUUAGUGAGCUGAACACAUUACAGAAUAAUUUUCUCAUGGGGUAUUUUCAUAACUUUAUGCAGCAGACUGUAACUUGAGCCCAGGGCUACCGGAGAGCUGCUAUCCAGCACGUUUCAGUGGAUUUUCCUGCUUUAACAGGUUAGAUUAACUGUUAAGCAGCUCAGCUAUUUGUUGCUGAUUAAAACCAGGUGUGCUGAAGCAGAUAAACCUCUAAAACAUGCUGAAUACUAGCUCUCCAGGGCCGUGGAGACAAACCCUGCAGCUAAUCUGAUGCUAUGGCUAAUGGCUACUUACAUUCAGAGGUGGUUCUGUUGGGUCGGUUCUGGGAGAUACAGGCAACUCACAAUCUCACAACAAUAAGGCUCAGGUCCGCUUGUCUCCUCCAAAUAGACUUGGUCCUUUUCUUCUCGAGUGUCUGAGUAAGGAGGGGGAGAAACGUCCUCCAUUUCUAAUAACUGCAUAGAGUGAAGGGAGCUAGCAUCGUCUAGUUAGCCGUCGUCUUCGUCACUGCCGCGGCUCCGCCCUCUCGGUCCUCCAGGCAACGCCUACUAAUGUUGCAUUUUUUUAAAUUGAUACGUGUGUGGAGUAAGACUCCGAGGCUCAAUUGACCCGCUCUUUAAAUCACUCAAAACAUUUCAAAGGAUCAUGAAACAACACAAAAGAUUGAUCACAAGUUAAUAUCUUUUAGUUUCACCACUUGGCCAUAGUAGGAAACAUUUAAAGAUAUUCAAGCAAUGAUAAAUAAGCAGUUUAUUCUUUCAAAAUGACCCGACGGACGUAUUUGGGAGCGAAAGAGGAAAACACGAAGCUACUUUUGAGCAAUAGAGUGGUUUUAUUGCUUAUUCUGGACUAUAGAGGAAACGGGAGAAGAAGGAGAG